rnacentral:rRNA from 1 species
UUCGUCGUGCUGGGGAUAGAGCAUUGCAAUUAUUGCUCUUCAACGAGGAAUGCCUAGUAAGCGUGAGUCAUCAGCUCACGUUGAUUACGUCCCUGCCCUUUGUACACACCGCCCGUCGCACCUACCGAUCGAAGGUAAUGAUGAGCCGUCAGGACCACUGAUUUUGCCUUCACGGGCUUUUUCGGUUGAAAUUUCUGCAAAUCCUUGCCUUUAGAGGAAGGUGAAGUCGUAACAAGGUUACCGUAGGUGAACCUGCGGUAGGAUCAUU